CGAGUAGGCUGUGUGGCAGCGCCGAAAGGUGAGGAAAGUCCGAGCAUCACAGAGCAGGAUACCUGCUAACGGCAGGCGGAGGCGACUCUAGGGAAAGUGCAACAGAAAUAUACCGCCGGGGCAUGCCCCGGUAAGGAUGGAAAGGCGAGGUAAGAGCUCACCGGAAUGCGGGGAACCGCAUUGCCCUGCAAACCCUAUCCGAUGCAACAUCGACUGGGAGGUUAUCGUCGGCUCGACGCUCCCGAAGGAUGGCUGGAGCGCUGUAGCAAUACAGCGUCGAGAUAGAUUGUCACGUAAACAGAACUCGGCUUAUAGGCUUAGUCGCUAC
rfam:Clostridium methylpentosum DSM 5476 Scfld1 genomic scaffold, whole genome shotgun sequence.